GAGUUUGAUUAUGGCUCAGAACGAACGCUGGCGGCGCGUCUUAAGCAUGCAAGUCGAACGGCAAGAGGAAAGCUUGCUUUUCUCCUAGAGUGGCGGACUGGUGAGUAACACGUGGGUGAUGAACCCUCCUGACAGGGAUAGCUGGUAGAAAUAUCAGAUAAUACCGGAUACGAACUCUAUAGUUAGAGUAUAGAGAGGAAAGGUGCUUUGGCACCGCAGGGGGAUCGGCUCGCGGCCUAUCAGCUAGUUGGCAGGGUAAAGGCCUGCCAAGGCGACGACGGGUAUCCGGCCUGAGAGGGUGGACGGACACAUUGGGACUGAGAUACGGCCCAGACUCCUACGGGAGGCAGCAGCUAAGAAUAUUCCGCAAUGGGCGAAAGCCUGACGGAGCGACGCCGCGUGGACGAUGAAGGCCGAAAGGUUGUAAAGUCCUUUUGAACCUGAAGAAUAAGUUUAAGAGGGAAUGCUUAAGCGGGACAGAAAGGUUGAAUAAGCAAC
rnacentral:rRNA from 1 species